rnacentral:rRNA from 1 species
UACGUAGGGAGCAAGCGUUGUCCGGAAUCAUUGGGCGUAAAGCGCGCGUAGGCGGCCCUGUAAGUCCGUUGUGAAAGUCAAAGGCUCAACCUUUGAAAGCCGAUGGAUACUGCAGGGCUAGAGUCCGGAAGAGGCGAGUGGAAUUCCUGGUGUAGCGGUGGAAUGCGCAGAUAUCAGGAGGAACACCUACGGCGAAGGCAGCUCGCUGGGACGGUACUGACGCUGAGACGCGAAAGCGUGGGGAGCAAACAGG